UAGAGGAAGUAAAAGUCGUAACAAGGUUUCCGUAGGUGAACCUGCGGAAGGAUCAUUAUUGAAAUAAACCUGAUGGGUUGUUGCUGGUUCUCUAGGGAGCAUGUGCACACCUUGUCAUCUUUAUGUCUCCACCUGUGCACCUUUUGUAGACCUUUUUCAGGUCUAUGUUGCUUCUUCAUUUACCCCCAUGUAUGUUAAUAGAAUGUUGUGCCUGUAUAAUCUAUACAACUUUCAGCAACGGAUCUCUUGGCUCUCGCAUCGAUGAAGAACGCAGCGAAAUGCGAUAAGUAAUGUGAAUUGCAGAAUUCAGUGAAUCAUCGAAUCUUUGAACGCACCUUGCGCUCCUUGGUAUUCCGAGGAGCAUGCCUGUUUGAGUGUCAUUAAUAUAUAUAUCAACCUUCUCAUUGUUGAGUGGAUUGGAUGUGGGGGGUUUGCUGGCCUCUUUAAUGGGUUCAGCUCCUCUGAAAUGCAUUAGCAGAACAACCUGUUCAUUGGUGUGAUAACUAUCUACGCUAUUGAAUGUGAGGGGCAGUUCAGCUUUCUAACAGUCCUUGGACAAUU
rnacentral:rRNA from 1 species